rnacentral:rRNA from 1 species
UACAGAGGUCUCAAGCGUUGUUCGGAUUCAUUGGGCGUAAAGGGUGCGUAGGCGGCGCGGUAAGUCGGGUGUGAAAUCUUGGAGCUUAACUCCGAAACUGCAUUCGAUACUGCCGUGCUUGAGGACUGGAGAGGAGACUGGAAUUUACGGUGUAGCGGUGAAAUGCGUAGAUAUCGUAAGGAAGACCAGUGGCGAAGGCGGGUCUCUGGACAGCUCCUGACGCUGAGGCACGAAGGCCAGGGGAGCAAACGGG